GAUGAACGCUAGCUACAGGCUUAACACAUGCAAGUCGAGGGGCAGCAUGAACUUAGCUUGCUAAGUUUGAUGGCGACCGGCGCACGGGUGAGUAACACGUAUCCAACCUUCCGUUUACUCAGGGAUAGCCUUUCGAAAGAAAGAUUAAUACCUGAUAGUAUGGUGAGAUUGCAUGAUAGCACCAUUAAAGAUUUAUUGGUAAACGAUGGGGAUGCGUUCCAUUAGGUAGUAGGCGGGGUAACGGCCCACCUAGCCGACGAUGGAUAGGGGUUCUGAGAGGAAGGUCCCCCACAUUGGAACUGAGACACGGUCCAAAACUCCUACGGGAGCAGCAGUGAGGAAUAUUGGGUCAAUGGGCGAGAGCCUGAACCAGCCAAGUAGCGUGAAGGAUGAAGGUCCUAGGAUUGU
rnacentral:rRNA from 1 species